rnacentral:rRNA from 1 species
AGUGAACGCUGGCGGUAGGCCUAACACAUGCAAGUCGAACGGCAGCACAGUAAGAGCUUGCUCUUACGGGUGGCGAGUGGCGGACGGGUGAGGAAUACAUCGGAAUCUACUUUUUCGCGGGGGAUAACGUAGGGAAACUUACGCUAAUACCGCAUACGACCUACGGGUGAAAGCAGGGGAUCUUCGGACCUUGCGCGAUUGAAUGAGCCGAUGUCGGAUUAGCUAGUUGGCGGGGUAAAGGCCCACCAAGGCGACGAUCCGUAGCUGGUCUGAGAGGAUGAUCAGCCACACUGGAACUGAGACACGGUCCAGACUCCUACGGGAGGCAGCAGUGGGGAAUAUUGGACAAUGGGCGCAAGCCUGAUCCAGCCAUACCGCGUGGGUUAAGAAGGCCUUCGGGUUGUAAAGCCCUUUUGUUGGGAAAGAAAAGCAGCAGGUUAAUACCCCGCUGUUCUGACGGUACCCAAAGAAUAAGCACCGGCUAACUUCGUG